rnacentral:lncRNA from 1 species
UGGCGAUAUCUGCCGUUGGCAAGCCAGGAUCGCGCUUCACUGACAAAAUGCAAAUUAUUAAACGUUUCUAUUUUAUUAAGCUUGUUGUUGAAAACGGUAUGUAGUGGAGACUGUCUGCGUUAUACACAUUGUCUUUCUUCCAUACUCUGCAGGUCAAAAUGGACCUAAUUAAUGUAUGGACAACAAUGCACAAGCCCUUUCUCAUGGAAAACCAGUCUGGUGAGAGAGAGCGAGAUAUUACAUGCAGUUUUAAUGAGAUCUGCACAAAGAAGAUGACGAUAAUAACAACAGACGCGCGGUAAACAGUUGGCAGUAUCUCUGCUGAGAAAAAUGGGAGACUGUGAGUGAGAAAGAGAGAGACGGAGGGAGAAAAAUCGAGCUGCUGCAGUAUCCCUACACUGUUGACUCUGAGGCUCGGACUGCGUGACUGACUGGUGUGUUGAGAGAGAGAGAGAGGAGGGAGAGAGAGGAGGGGAGGGGAGUAGGGAAGGAUCGUUCGCCGUAGGAGUGGAGGAGAC